GAGCAGAGGUGCCAAGCGUUAGGCGGAAUCACUGGGCUUAAAGCGUGUGUAGGCGGGUCGUUAAGUGUCUUUGUGAAAUCCCCCGGCUCAACCGGGGAAUGGCUGGGCAUACUGGCGAUCUUGAGCAGUUCAGGGGCAGGAUGGAACAAGUGGUGGAGCGGUGAAAUGCGUAGAUAUCACUUGGAACGCCAAAGGUGAAAACAGUCAUGGCUCGGGAACGUUGCUGACGCUGAGACACGAAAAGCCAGGGGAGGCGAACGGG
rnacentral:rRNA from 1 species